rnacentral:rRNA from 1 species
UCGCACGAGAACGUUCUGGCUUUGCCAGAACAAGUACAGUGGCGGACGGGUGCGUAUCGCGUAGAUAACCUGCCCUUAGGCGCGGGACAAUCACGGGAAACCGUGGCUAAUACCGCACGUCGUCUGGGCCCCGCAUGGGGACCAGAUGAAAGCUUGGGGUUACCCAGGCGCCUCGGGAUGGGUCUGCGUUGGAUUAGCUUGUUGGUGAGGCAACGGCUCACCAAGGCAACGAUCCAUAGCUGGUCUGAGAGGACGAUCAGCCACACUGGGACUGAGACACGGCCCAGACUCCUACGGGAGGCAGCAGUGGGGAAUCUUGCACAAUGGGGUCACCCCUGAUGCAGCCAUGCCGCGUGGAGGAAGACACCCCUAUGGGGCGUAAACUCCUUUUCUGAAUGAAGAAACCCCUGUAGGUUCAGGGCGCGACGGUAGUUCAGGAAUAAGCACCGGCUAACUCCGUGCCAGCAGCCGCGGUAAUACGGAGGGUGCAAGCGUUGUCCGGAAUCACUGGGUGUAAAGGGUGUGCAGGCGGGGCAACAAGUCGGAUGUGAAACCCCAUGGCUCAACCAUGGAGGUGCAUUCGAAACUGUUGCUCUUGAGUCCCGGAGAGGCUGUCGGAAUUCGUGGUGUAGCGGUGAAAUGCGUAGAUAUCACGAGGAACACCAGAGGCGAAAGCGGGCAGCUGGACGGGUACUGACGCUCAGGCACGAAAGCGUGGGGAGCAAACAGGAUUAGAUACCC